rnacentral:rRNA from 1 species
GCAAGUCGAGCGAGAUACCCGGCCUUCGGGCUGGACUAUCGAGCGGCGAACGGGUGAGUAACACGUGAGGAACCUGCCCCGGAGACUGGGAUAACCCAAGGAAACUCGGGCUAAUACCGGAUACCCUCAUCGGACCGCAUGGUCUGAUGAGGAAAAGUCCGCUGCUCCGGGAGGGCCUCGCGGCCUAUCAGCUAGUUGGCGGGGUAACGGCCCACCAAGGCAUCGACGGGUAGCUGGUCUGAGAGGACGAUC